AGCGUACACGGUGGAUGCCCUGGCAGUCAGAGGCGAUGAAGGACGUGCUAAUCUGCGAUAAGCGUCGGUAAGGUGAUAUGAACCGUUAUAACCGGCGAUUUCCGAAUGGGGAAACCCAGUGUGAUUCGUCACACUAUCAUUAACUGAAUCCAUAGGUUAAUGAGGCGAACCGGGGGAACUGAAACAUCUAAGUACCCCGAGGAAAAGAAAUCAACCGAGAUUCCCCCAGUAGCGGCGAGCGAACGGGGAGCAGCCCAGAGCCUGAAUCAGUGUGUGUGUUAGUGGAAGCGUCUGGAAAGGCGUGCGAUACAGGGUGACAGCCCCGUACACAAAAAUGCACAUGCUGUGAGCUCGAUGAGUAGGGCGGGACACGUGGUAUCCUGUCUGAAUAUGGGGGGACCAUCCUCCAAGGCUAAAUACUCCUGACUGACCGAUAGUGAACCAGUACCGUGAGGGAAAGGCGAAAAGAACCCCGGCGAGGGGAGUGAAAAAGAACCUGAAACCGUGUACGUACAAGCAGUGGGAGCACGCUUAGGCGUGUGACUGCGUACCUUUUGUAUAAUGGGUCAGCGACUUAUAUUCUGUAGCAAGGUUAACCGAAUAGGGGAGCCGAAGGGAAACCGAGUCUUAACUGGGCGUUAAGUUGCAGGGUAUAGACCCGAAACCCGGUGAUCUAGCCAUGGGCAGGUUGAAGGUUGGGUAACACUAACUGGAGGACCGAACCGACUAAUGUUGAAAAAUUAGCGGAUGACUUGUGGCUGGGGGUGAAAGGCCAAUCAAACCGGGAGAUAGCUGGUUCUCCCCGAAAGCUAUUUAGGUAGCGCCUCGUGAAUUCAUCUCCGGGGGUAGAGCACUGUUUCGGCAAGGGGGUCAUCCCGACUUACCAACCCGAUGCAAACUGCGAAUACCGGAGAAUGUUAUCACGGGAGACACACGGCGGGUGCUAACGUCCGUCGUGAAGAGGGAAACAACCCAGACCGCCAGCUAAGGUCCCAAAGUCAUGGUUAAGUGGGAAACGAUGUGGGAAGGCCCAGACAGCCAGGAUGUUGGCUUAGAAGCAGCCAUCAUUUAAAGAAAGCGUAAUAGCUCACUGGUCGAGUCGGCCUGCGCGGAAGAUGUAACGGGGCUAAACCAUGCACCGAAGCUGCGGCAGCGACGCUUAUGCGUUGUUGGGUAGGGGAGCGUUCUGUAAGCCUGUGAAGGUGUACUGUGAGGUAUGCUGGAGGUAUCAGAAGUGCGAAUGCUGACAUAAGUAACGAUAAAGCGGGUGAAAAGCCCGCUCGCCGGAAGACCAAGGGUUCCUGUCCAACGUUAAUCGGGGCAGGGUGAGUCGACCCCUAAGGCGAGGCCGAAAGGCGUAGUCGAUGGGAAACAGGUUAAUAUUCCUGUACUUGGUGUUACUGCGAAGGGGGGACGGAGAAGGCUAUGUUGGCCGGGCGACGGUUGUCCCGGUUUAAGCGUGUAGGCUGGUUUUCCAGGCAAAUCCGGAAAAUCAAGGCUGAGGCGUGAUGACGAGGCACUACGGUGCUGAAGCAACAAAUGCCCUGCUUCCAGGAAAAGCCUCUAAGCAUCAGGUAACAUCAAAUCGUACCCCAAACCGACACAGGUGGUCAGGUAGAGAAUACCAAGGCGCUUGAGAGAACUCGGGUGAAGGAACUAGGCAAAAUGGUGCCGUAACUUCGGGAGAAGGCACGCUGAUAUGUAGGUGAAGCGACUUGCUCGUGGAGCUGAAAUCAGUCGAAGAUACCAGCUGGCUGCAACUGUUUAUUAAAAACACAGCACUGUGCAAACACGAAAGUGGACGUAUACGGUGUGACGCCUGCCCGGUGCCGGAAGGUUAAUUGAUGGGGUCAGCGCAAGCGAAGCUCUUGAUCGAAGCCCCGGUAAACGGCGGCCGUAACUAUAACGGUCCUAAGGUAGCGAAAUUCCUUGUCGGGUAAGUUCCGACCUGCACGAAUGGCGUAAUGAUGGCCAGGCUGUCUCCACCCGAGACUCAGUGAAAUUGAACUCGCUGUGAAGAUGCAGUGUACCCGCGGCAAGACGGAAAGACCCCGUGAACCUUUACUAUAGCUUGACACUGAACAUUGAGCCUUGAUGUGUAGGAUAGGUGGGAGGCUUGGAAGUGUGGACGCCAGUCUGCAUGGAGCCGACCUUGAAAUACCACCCUUUAAUGUUUGAUGUUCUAACGUGGACCCGUGAUCCGGGUUGCGGACAGUGUCUGGUGGGUAGUUUGACUGGGGCGGUCUCCUCCUAAAGAGUAACGGAGGAGCACGAAGGUUGGCUAAUCCUGGUCGGACAUCAGGAGGUUAGUGCAAUGGCAUAAGCCAGCUUGACUGCGAGCGUGACGGCGCGAGCAGGUGCGAAAGCAGGUCAUAGUGAUCCGGUGGUUCUGAAUGGAAGGGCCAUCGCUCAACGGAUAAAAGGUACUCCGGGGAUAACAGGCUGAUACCGCCCAAGAGUUCAUAUCGACGGCGGUGUUUGGCACCUCGAUGUCGGCUCAUCACAUCCUGGGGCUGAAGUAGGUCCCAAGGGUAUGGCUGUUCGCCAUUUAAAGUGGUACGCGAGCUGGGUUUAGAACGUCGUGAGACAGUUCGGUCCCUAUCUGCCGUGGGCGCUGGAGAACUGAGGGGGGCUGCUCCUAGUACGAGAGGACCGGAGUGGACGCAUCACUGGUGUUCGGGUUGUCAUGCCAAUGGCACUGCCCGGUAGCUAAAUGCGGAAGAGAUAAGUGCUGAAAGCAUCUAAGCACGAAACUUGCCCCGAGAUGAGUUCU
rnacentral:rRNA from 1 species